rnacentral:rRNA from 1 species
AGCCAGACUCCUACGGGAGGCAGCAGUGAGGAAUAUUGGUCAAUGGCCGGAAGGCUGAACCAGCCAAGUCGCGUGAGGGAAGACUGCCCUAUGGGUUGUAAACCUCUUUUGUCAGGGAGCAAUUGGCGCUACGUGUAGCGUUAUCGAGAGUACCUGAAGAAAAAGCAUCGGCUAACUCCGUGCCAGCAGCCGCGGUAAUACGGAGGAUGCGAGCGUUAUCCGGAUUUAUUGGGUUUAAAGGGUGCGCAGGCGGAGGUGCAAGUCAGCGGUCAAAUUGCGGGGCUCAACCCCGUACUGCCGUUGAAACUGCAUCCCUUGAGUGCGCGAGAAGUAUGCGGAAUGCGUGGUGUAGCGGUGAAAUGCAUAGAUAUCACGCAGAACUCCGAUUGCGAAGGCAGCAUACCGGCGCGCAACUGACGCUGAAGCACGAAAGCGUGGGUAUCGAACAGGAUUAGAUACCCCCGUAGUU